UUUUUUCUUUUUUUUUUCUUUUUCUUUCUUUUCUUCUUCAUCUUCUUCGUCUUCUUCUCCUUCUUCUCACUGCCAUCACCAUCAACCCCCAACCUUAACCCCAAACCAGCUGCACCACCACCUUCAAAUAAUUUCCAAUGCAUUAAUAAAUUUCUAUUGCACAAAUAAAAAAUCCCAAAACCCCAAAAAUAAUUUAAAUCAAAAAAACAAAUCAAAACCCCAAAUCCUAAAUUGUUUGUAGUGAUAUGAAUAGUCUAGCUUAUAUGUGAAUUAAUGAUGGUGAUUAAGUAGCUAUGCAAAUCCACCCCUACAUAGUUUCAGUAAUAUGAUUAUCUCAUUCUGCAUUGAUAUUCUGGAUCAAGAAUUUGUCUGCAAUGGAGGUGAAUAUAGUCCGCCCAUUUGUUGGUCGAGCGCUGCAGGCAUUCUAUAAGCACGGUAGUCCAGAUCUCAUUCCGAAUCCAGAGAGAAUGUCUAACUCUAACAGAUUUCAACAACCAGCACCAGCUGAUCAUGGACAAAGACGUCCUCUACGUAAAAGGUAGAAGGGUUCUUAAGUGAUAUGAUUAGUUAUCUUCACAAAUCACGUCGAAGCAA